rnacentral:rRNA from 1 species
GACAGAGGGUGCAAACGUUGUUCGGAAUUACUGGGCGUAAAGGGCGCGUAGGCGGCUCUGCAAGUCAGGUGUGAAAUCUCCGGGCUUAACCCGGAAAGGUCAACUGAUACUGCAGGGCUAGAGUGCAGAAGGGGCAACUGGAAUUCUCGGUGUAGCGGUGAAAUGCGUAGAUAUCUGGAGGAACACCGGUGGCGAAGGCGGCAUCCUGGACCGGUAUUGACGCUGAGGCGCGAAAGCCAGGGGAGCAAACGGG